GGGAAGGCGGCAGCUUAACAUGCAGUCGACGGCAGCACGGGUGCUUGCACCUGGUGGCGAGUGGCGAACGGGUGAGUAAUACAUCGGAACAUGUCCUGUAGUGGGGGAUAGCCCGGCGAAAGCCGGAUUAAUACCGCAUACGAUCUACGGAUGAAAGCGGGGGACCUUCGGGCCUCGCGCUAUAGGGUUGGCCGAUGGCUGAUUAGCUAGUUGGUGGGGUAAAGGCCUACCAAGGCGACGAUCAGUAGCUGGUCUGAGAGGACGACCAGCCACACUGGGACUGAGACACGGCCCAGACUCCUACGGGAGGCAGCAGUGGGGAAUUUUGGACAAUGGGCGAAAGCCUGAUCCAGCAAUGCCGCGUGUGUGAAGAAGGCCUUCGGGUUGUAAAGCACUUUUGUCCGGAAAGAAAUCCUUGGCUCUAAUACAGUCGGGGGAUGACGGUACCGGAAGAAUAAGCACCGGCUAACUACG
rnacentral:rRNA from 1 species